rnacentral:lncRNA from 1 species
CGCGUGUAAUGAAAUUUGACAUUAUUCUUUUCAUUAAUAUUUCGUAGGAGAGUUUGCUCCGACCAAAGAAAAGUUUGAGUGUCGUUACCUCUCUGGUUGAUAAGGAUUUGAUGAUAUUUUGACCGUUGGAUUGAAGCGAGAUGUAAGAUGUUUUAGGACAGCUAUCACUGCAACAACAUCAACGGGCCCACUGAUUUGACGUGUGGAAAGGGAUCAGGUGGACCCACUUCCAUCACAAGUGUACUUAUUGCAGUCAAAUUACAUUUAUAUCCCAAAAACAAUAUGUCGUUUUCUUAUCAAUAUUACCAUCACAAGACACUCUCCUUUUAAAUAAAC